UACGAAGGGGGCUAGCGUUGCUCGGAAUUACUGGGCGUAAAGCGCACGUAGGCGGCUUUCUAAGUCGGGGGUGAAAUCCUGGAGCUCAACUCCAGAACUGCCUUCGAUACUGGAGAGCUUGAGUCCGGGAGAGGGUGAGUGGAACUGCGAGUGUAGAGGUGAAAUUCGUAGAUAUUCGCAAGAACACCAGUGGCGAAGGCGGCUCACUGGCCCGGUACUGACGCUGAGGUGCGAAAGCGUGGGGAGCAACAGGAUUAGAAACCCUGAGUAGACCU
rnacentral:rRNA from 1 species